UACGGAAGGGGCUAGCGUUGUUCGGAAUUACUGGGCGUAAAGAGCGCGUAGGCGGCUCUUCAAGUUAGGCGUGAAAGGCCUGGGCUCAACCUGGGAACUGCGUUUAAUACUGGAGAGCUUGAGUCCGGGAGAGGGUGGUGGAAUUCCCAGUGUAGAGGUGAAAUUCGUAGAUAUUGGGAGGAACACCAGUGGCGAAGGCGGCCACCUGGCCCGGAACUGACGCUGAGGCGCGAAAGCGUGGGGAGCAAACAGGAUUAGAUACCCUUGUA
rnacentral:rRNA from 1 species